rnacentral:sRNA from 1 species
GUCGGGCAUGGUGGUGCAUGCCUGUAAUCCCAGUGGCUAAGGAGGCUGAGACAGGAGGAUUGCUAAUUCCAAGCCAGCCUCAG